rnacentral:rRNA from 1 species
CCCUCAAGAUGAGAUUUCCCAUUCCGCAAGGAAGUAAGAUCCCUGAAAGAUGAUCAGGUUGAUAGGUCUGAGGUGGAAGCGUGGUGACACGUGGAGCUGACAGAUACUAAUAGAUCGAGGACUUAACCUA